rnacentral:tRNA from 1 species
GGCAGCAUGGUAUAGUGGAAAUAACCCUAGAUUUGAAGUCAGGAAGACCUAGGUUCAAAUCCUGGUUCUGCCA